rnacentral:rRNA from 1 species
UACGUAGGGUGCGAGCGUUGUCCGGAAUUAUUGGGCGUAAAGAGCUCGUAGGCGGCUUGUCGCGUCGACUGUGAAAUCCCGCGGCUCAACUGCGGGUCUGCAGUCGAUACGGGCAGGCUAGAGUUCGGUAGGGGAGACUGGAAUUCCUGGUGUAGCGGUGAAAUGCGCAGAUAUCAGGAGGAACACCGAUGGCGAAGGCAGGUCUCUGGGCAUUAACUGACGCUGAGGCGCGAGAGCGUGGGGAGCAAACGGG